rnacentral:rRNA from 4 species
GUGAUAUGAACCGUUAUAACCGGCGAUACCCGAAUGGGGAAACCCAGUGUGACUCGUCACACUAUCAUUAACUGAAUCCAUAGGUUAAUGAGGCGAACCGGGGGAACUGAAACAUCUAAGUACCCCGAGGAAAAGAAAUCAACCGAGAUUCCCCCAGUAGCGGCGAGCGAACGGGGAGGAGCCCAGAGCCUGAAUCAGCAUGUGUGUUAGUGGAAGCGUCUGGAAAGGCGCGCGAUACAGGGUGACAGCCCCGUACACAAAAGCGCAUGUGCUGUGAGCUCGAUGAGUAGGGCGGGACACGUGGUAUCCUGUCUGAAUAUGGGGGGACCAUCCUCCAAGGCUAAAUACUCCUGACUGACCGAUAGUGAACCAGUACCGUGAGGGAAAGGCGAAAAGAACCCCGGCGAGGGGAGUGAAAAAGAACCUGAAACCGU